CAGCGCCACGAGUGGCAACCGCGAUUAUUGGGCCUAAAGCGUCCGUAGCAGGUUUGACAAAUCUUUUGUGAAAUUGUGCGGCUUAACCGUACAACGUGCAAGAGACACUAUCAAACUCGAGAUCGGGAGGAGUCAGAAGUAUUCCAGGGGGAUCGGUAAAAUGUUAUAAUCCCUGGAGGACUACCUAUGGCGAAGGCAUCUGACCAGAACGAAUCUGACUGUGAGGGACGAAAGCCAGGGGAGCGAACCGGAUUAGAUACCCGAGUAGUCC
rnacentral:rRNA from 1 species